GCCUCGCUAGCUCAAUCGGUAGAGCAGUUGACUCUUAAUCAAUUGGUUCGGGGUUCGAGUCCCCGGCGAGGUACCA
rnacentral:tRNA from 1 species